AACGAACGCUGGCGGCAGGCCUAACACAUGCAAGUCGAGCGGACCCUUCGGGGUUAGCGGCAGACGGGUGAGUAACGCGUGGGAACCUACCCAGUGGUACGGAAUAGCCCAGGGAAACUUGGGGUAAUACCGUAUACGCCCGAGAGGGGAAAGAUUUUAUCGCCAUUGGAUGGGCCCGCGUCGGAUUAGCUAGUUGGUGGGGUAAUGGCCUACCAAGGCGACGAUCCGUAGCUGGUCUGAGAGGAUGAUCAGCCACACUGGGACUGAGACACGGCCCAGACUCCUACGGGAGGCAGCAGUGGGGAAUAUUGGACAAUGGGCGAAAGCCUGAUCCAGCCAUGCCGCGUGAGUGACGAAGGUCUUCGGAUUGUAAAGCUCUUUUGGCGGGGAAGAUAAUGACGGUACCCGCAGAAUAAGCCCCGGCUAACUUC
rnacentral:rRNA from 1 species